GAGGGGUUUAUAUUCAUGUCCAGUGUUUUCUUUUUGCUGUCAUGUAUAUUUAAUACAUGUCUAAUAAACAAGGAACUCCCACAGCUCACCCCACCGUGGUCACCCAAUGCCUCUGGACCUCCUUUCAGCUGGGGAACUAACAACAGGGAAGAGGAAAGCUGCCCCUUAACACAGAGAACCUGGCCCUGAUCCUGGUGCAGAAGAGCAAUGAGGAGCUGCACUGACAUCAAUCUGCUGUAAGCAGGAGCAUCACAGAGCCCUGCAUUGGAUGUUUUCCACCAUCCAGAGUGAACGGGUGGACUCCUGUCAAGCAGACGAGCCUCAAUGUACACAGUCCUCCUCCUUAGAUGGAUGUCGCUAUCCACAGCAGGCAGCUUUGCUGGUCUUUUUUUCCUCCCCCUCACCAUUGCUGCCAAGAGAAGAGGAGGGCUGUGGUCAGUGGCACCACCGAGGGACACGUGGACUGACAGUGUGCCAACACAGUGAGCAGAAAGCUGCAGUCUGGAGCUCCAUAAACGUGCAAAAGCAGAGCUGCUAUGAACCACUGACAGCACUGGGAUCACCAGCACAAGGGAGGUAUGUGACACUUCCUUCUUACUUGUGGUUCAGAUGGUCUCUCUGGA